GCAGAGGGCGCUUUGGCUUUGGCAGCCGUCCAAGUUCCUUGGAACAGGACGUCACAGAGGGUGAGAAUCCCGUACGUGGUCGCUGGCUAUUGCCGUGUAAAGCCCCUUCGACGAGUCGAGUUGUUUGGGAAUGCAGCUCUAAAUGGGAGGUACAUUUCUUCUAAAGCUAAAUAUUGGCCAGAGACCGAUAGCGCACAAGUAGAGUGAUCGAAAGAUGAAAAGCACUUUGGAAAGAGAGUCAAACAGCACGUGAAAUUGUUGAAAGGGAAGCGCUUGCAGCCAGACUUGCUUGCAGUUGCUCAUCCGGGCUUUUGCCCGGUGCACUCUUCUGCAGGCAGGCCAGCAUCAGUUUGGGCGGUAGGAUAAAGGUCUCUGUCACGUACCUCUCUUCGGGGAGGCCUUAUAGGGGAGACGACAUACUACCAGCCUGGACUGAGGUCCGCGCAUCUGCUAGGAUGCUGGCGUAAUGGCUGUAAGCGGCCCGUCUUGAAACACGGACCAAGGAGUCUAACAUCUAUGCGAGUGUUUGGGUGUCAAGCCCGAGCGCGUAAUGAAAGUGAACGGAGGUAGGAACCCGCAAGGGUGCACUAUCGACCGAUCCUGAUGUCUUCGGAAGGAUUUGAGUAAGAGCAUGGCUGUUGGGACCCGAAAGAUGGUGAACUAUGCUUGAAUAGGGUGAAGCCAGAGGAAACUCUGGUGGAGGCUCGCAGC
rnacentral:rRNA from 1 species